GUUUCAACGGCUGUCGUAACUAUGACAACCAAGGACACUCACGGCUAACGGUAGCCAGUUAACGUGACCGUUAACCGGCCCGGCUCCACGUCAGUAUUCCCCCGGGGCCUGGAAACCUGUUCUUCUUCUUCCCGUGUUGUGACGUCACUCGAGUAUCAAGCCAAACUCCACGUGCCUCGGGUCUGAGGUUAUACAAACACCUUUGGAAGAGCUACAAAGCUCACGGACGGUGAGGAUUCGUACGAGCAUGGCCUCCAUUGUGCUGCUGUCCAGAGCGGUGGACGAGAACCACAGAGGGCUGCCGGGGACACAACAGCGAUCCGGCUGGAGGUAGAAUAAGCCGGCACGUUGUUUUACCGACUCUGAGCUGGUUGGACGGAGAGAAAACAUAAAAUUAAAGAUGGUCACUGAGUUUAGUGACAGGAGGCAAAAAAAAAAGUGAUGUGCAGUAAAAAUGAGACACAGCUGUCUGUAGAUACAGGAGAGACUCUGCUUGUUCAUUCUGACUGUUUACAUAAUAUACAACAAGUUCAUCAGUCAU